rfam:Picea glauca, whole genome shotgun sequence.
GGGUCGGAUCAUACAAGCAUUAAUGCACCGGAUCCCAUCAGAACUCUAUAGUUAAGUGCGCUUGGGCUAGAGUAGUACUGAGAUGGCUGACCUCCUGGGAAGUCCUAGUGUUACACCCU